rnacentral:rRNA from 1 species
AGAGUUUGAUCCUGGCUCAGGACGAACGCUGGCGGCGCACCUAAGACAUGCAAGUCGAACGGGGGCUUCGGCCCCAGUGGCGGACGGGUGAGUAACACGUAGGGGACCUGCCCCGUGGCGGGGGAUAACACCGGGAAACCGGUGCUAAGACCGCAUACGUCCGAUGGCAUAGCGGCCAUCGGGGAAAUGCGCGAGCAGCCACGGGAGGGCCUUGCGGCGGAUUAGGUAGUUGGUGGGGUAGAGGCCUACCAAGCCGACGAUCCGUAGCUGGUCUGAGAGGACGACCAGCCACACCGGGACUGAGACACGGCCCGGACUCCUACGGGAGGCAGCAGUUAGGGAAUUUUCACAAUGGGCGCAAGCCUGAUGGAGUGACGCCGCGUGCGGGAUGAAGGCCCUCGGGUCGUAAACCGCUUUUUACGGGGACGAGAUGGACGGUACCCGUAGAAGAAGCCCCGGCUAACUACGUGCCAGCAGCCGCGGUAAUACGUAGGGGGCGAGCGUUGUCCGGAAUCACUGGGCGUAAAGCGCGCGUAGGCGGCUGUGCGCAUCCGGUGUGAAAGCCCCCGGCUCAACUGGGGGAGGACACUGGAGAUGGCGCAGCUAGAGGACCGUAGAGGCAAGGGGAAGUCCCGCAGUAGUGGUGAAAUGCGUAGAGAGCGGGAGGAACACCAGUGGCGAAGGCGCCUUGCUGGGCGGGCCCUGACGCUGAGGCGCGAAAGCUAGGGGAGCGAACGGAAUUAGAUACUCCGGUAGUCC